rnacentral:rRNA from 1 species
GCAUAUCAAUAAGCGGAGGAAAAGAAACUAACAAGGAUUCCCCUAGUAAUGGCGAAUGAAGAGGGAAAAGCUCAAAUUUUAAAUCUACCUGGUUCCCAGGUCGAGUUGUAAUUUGAAGAAGCGAUAUCGGUGUGGAGGUCUGGUUCAAGUUCUUUGGAACAAGACAUCAUGGAGGGUGAGAAUCCCGUGCAUGAUCAGACCAAGAUACUUAAUAUUCGCUUUCUAAGAGUCGAGUUGUUUGGGAAUGCAGCUCAAAAUGGGUGGUAGACUUCACCUAAGGCUAAAUAUCAGCGAGAGACCGAUAGCGAACAAGUACUGUGAAGGAAAGAUGAAAAGAACUUUGAAAAGAGAGUUAAAUAGUACGUGAAAUUGUUGAAAGGGAAACGAUUGAAGUCAGUCAUGCUAGUGAAAAUUCAGUUUGGUGGGUUUUGGGUUCAGGAGUUGAGGCAGGGUCAAACCGUUUCUCUUUUGAACUUGGAAUUUGUCAGAUGCACUUUUUCUUUGGCAGGUCAGCGUCGAUUUCGGAGGUUGUAAAAUACUUGGGGAAAAGUAGCUCUGCUUCGGGAGAGUGUUAUAGACCUUGGGUGAUGCGGCCUGCGGGAUCGAGGAUUGCAGCAAAUGCUUUUGGCUUGUCGCCUGAUCUCUGGACGUCAUCUCGCUUGUAUCAACAUUCUUGGUACCGGUGAGUAAUGGUGCUCAUAGGUUAGAGCGAUCAAAAAUUUUGCUAAGGAUGCUGACGUAAUGGCUUUAAACGAC